UACCGGUAUAUCUUUCUCAUUAUUGGCCCUCUUUCUGUCUUUCCUUUCCACCUUUUGCAUUCAUUUUCCUAGCCCUGUGGCUCUAACAAACCAAACAAGUAAUGAGCCCUGUAUGGACAUAGAAAUUUGGGUACCAUAUCCCAUUGCAAUUUUCCUAUUAUUACUUGGUUGAUUAAUAUUUCCAAUUGCAUCAUCAUGGACAUGGAGCAAAGUCAGCAAACAAGUGAUGAUGGAAUAUGAAUGCUCUUGCUUUGCUUGUGUGAGUAAGUUUAUUUACAACCCUUGUUUCACUUUGUAUUGAUCUUGCUUGUGUUAUUUCUUUACAAUUCAGAUUGCUUGUGAAUCCUAAAUUUAUACCUUAAAGAUGGAGAUAGCAGUUCUUCUUUAAUAUAAAUGGUUCCAAUAUAAUACUGUUUUUUGCACACAAGACAUAUCCAACUUCAGUUCUUUCACUUAGUUUUUGACCUGUGUAUUUUUAAUUGUUGUCAUGUCAUUGUUCUCUUGCAUUUUGCAUUUUCAUCUCGCAAUUAACUGUGUUGACACUAAUGUAUGGCCAAUCCAUUGUGCUUAAUCAGUAAUUAUCACACAGUAUAUACAGUUUAAUAUUGCAUUGAUAUAUUGUUCGAAAUUGUUUUUGUUAGACCUGUGUGAAGUUAAAUCAUUAAUGCAAUAACAUAUCUCAAGAAGAGAACAAAGCAAUUCCGAUGAGGGAAAUGCUAUAUCCAACAUAUAUAUACAAUGGAAAGCGAAGCAAGUGAAUUACACAACUCUUCCACUGCAAUACAGUGAUUAAUUUAGUCUUACCUGUAACUUGUAUGUGUAAAAGCCUAGAUGGGAUACAUGCUUCUCUUAUAAUAGAGGUGUUGUCAAGAGAUUAAUUUAGAGUGAAAAGCUGAGUGAAUGUAAAUUGAAGCAAGGCUGCCUUCUCUUUGCACCUAUCAUGAAACCUGGCGACUUUUCCUUGAUGAUUGAUGCCACUGAUUGUUUCAUCGAUUCAGGUCCACAAACCAAGACUCCUAUAUCGGAACUGCUAGUUUGACUUGGAAAUUUUGAAAAGAUAUCUGGUAACAUUAACCAUGUGUGAUAAUUAGUCUAUACUCUGAUUCUACUACACUGAGUUUAAUAUUUGUAGAACAAUAGUAUGAGUAAAUCUUUAAAUACAAUACCUUCAAAGUCAGGCCUCCGUCCAUAGAAAACUUCAUGUUCCUCAAGAGUAGCACUUGCUUCUAUAUUAUUCAGUUCAGUGCCUUUACUGUAUUUCUGAUAAACUGGGGAAAUAUCUUUCUUCAUUUUUCUCCAUCUUAAAAUACCUAUGGCCAGAAUGCUGCAAAUUGUAGCUAUACUAAACGAACAGAUAAGAAUAAGAUCUGUAACCCAAGACGGGUUCUUCUUGCCAGACGAUUCUUUUUCUUGGUGAAACAUAUGGUUUAGGCAUAUUAGUGCCAAAAGGAAUAUUUUUGAGGAUAAACCUGCCACUGCAGCCAUCCGCAGAAAACUCUCAAUUCCAGAUGUUGUAUAAUUCAGAGAUUUUGGGUCGAAGUUUACUGUCUGCACCUUAGGCAUCUCUUUUAUCCAUUCUUUCAUUGUUGUAGCAUCUCUCUCUUCUUGGGUCACAUAUAUGCUUACUUUUAAUUGUAGCUGGUUCAUUGAUUGGUUUAGAAGUAUAUGCAAAAUUGAGUUCAAAAGAUUGAUGUCCUGUGACUUCUUCGUUGCAUAUAUUAGUUGAAUUCUUGUGGGGAGUGCGCUCUUGUUGCUGUUUUGUGCCGAACCAAUCUCCUGCAAUGUGCUUAGAAAUGGAGUUAAUCCAAUUCCACCAGCAACUAGUAGUAAGCUGUCAUAUCUGCAGUGAAGAUUGAUGCCAUUGUUAAAUUAGUAAGGUAACGUAUCAGUUGAUCAAUGCAAAGCAAUGAGCUAAGAUCACUAUAUCAGUGGAUGAAACAGAAGUGUUUUGUUUGAGUAUUAUGCUCCCACAUACCUUAGGAAUUCUGUUGAUGCUGGUCCAUAAGGGCCUUCAACUGAAAUAGGGAGGCAUUUCGCCUGAUUAGCUCCAGAGUCUACAGCAGCAAGGAUUUUGUUGUAGAGUGAGUUCGUCCACCACCCUUCGCUUCUGACUAGGACAGUUACUCUUUCGUCAUCAACACUGAAGCUAGAAGUUAUACUAAAAGGGUGCCACUGGAACUUUGAAAUACUUGGCACUUUUAGGAAUAUCACACUAGUUGGGGUGUAUACCAAUCCUGUAGAUAUUAUAAAUUCAUGGUUUAGAUAAAUUCACAAAUCAGAUAUUCUCUGUGUAUACUUGAUUGACUGAAAGGACGAUAGGACUUACUUGGAUGUUUGGAGAGAGUAAGCUCUACAGCAUUGGAAGAUAAUAGGGAUGCAGAAAGAAGAUAUGUUCCUGGUUUGGACUGUAUGAUACGUAGGAGCUUAUCCAGAGCAAAUAGAAGAAUCCCAGAGAACACCAUGUAAAAGUGCCGAUCUCCAACAUGAAACAAGAAAAAUACCAAGAAAACAACGUAUAAAUGGUGAGUGUAGUAGAACAAUUCAAACUUUUUCCGCCUUAUUUGUGGAAGUGAUGUGAUCCAGAUAACUAGCCCCGUUACAAGGGCAAUUUCUCCAGCAAGGUACACUCGACCUGUUUUCUGCCACAUCCAAAUCUGUUUUUCAAGGAAAUUAGAGUCAGUCAUGAGUUUAAAUAUGUUUUAUUAACACCCUAGUUCGUAUAAUACAAAAUUUAGUGCAGGCUGUUGAAGGAGAAGUGAGACUUUGUGCAAGGUUUAUAUAUAUCAUAAUGUAGUGACAGAGAAGAGAUUCAGAUUUUGUUACUAGUUUAGUAACUUUACGUCUGAAAGUUACUUUUAUGUUGUUUUCUACAUCUAUUUGCUUAGACAUAACAAUACCUGUCAAACAUCAUUCACUCAAUUCAUUAUGAUUUUGUAUAGCUAGUUAGCUACAAAUCUGCAAUGCUUUAUAGUAUACCAAGUAGGACUUGCAAUACACAUGAGAGAGUGGUAAUAUCAGAAGUAAAGAUAAUUUACCUUGUCUUGAAGUCGAUGUUUGAUGCCCCAAAUAAAUAAUGUGCUUAAACCAUGCAAUGUGCUGAAAAAAAUCAUUGCGGUUCCAAGAAAGAUGUGAUAUCUUAUUGAAGCUUCAAAUUGCAAGCCAAUUAGACGAAAUAUGGACAUCCCCCUUGCGACAGGAAGAAGGAGAAGUGCUAAGCAUGCUUCUGCUAGCAAACCAAACCUUGUCCCCAACUUCAUGAACUUAUACUGCCAACUGAAAUGCAUGUGAAGUAUCAGUGUUGUGAACAUUUUGUAUUCAAAUAACAGAAGAUUUUUAGAUUACUCACAUAUUCAGCUUUAAUGAUUUUACAGGUAGCUUCUUGUUGAAGUCUUUUGAGAUGUGAGCAUACAUGGUC
rnacentral:lncRNA from 1 species